GAUGAACGCUGGCGGCGUGCUUAACACAUGCAAGUCGAACGGGAAUUACUUUAUUGAAACUUCGGUCGAUUUAAUUUAAUUCUAGUGGCGGACGGGUGAGUAACGCGUGGGUAACCUGCCUUAUACAGGGGGAUAACAGUCAGAAAUGGCUGCUAAUACCGCAUAAGCGCACAGAGCUGCAUGGCUCAGUGUGAAAAACUCCGGUGGUAUAAGAUGGACCCGCGUUGGAUUAGCUGGUUGGUGGGGUAACGGCCCACCAAGGCGACGAUCCAUAGCCGGCCUGAGAGGGUGAACGGCCACAUUGGGACUGAGACACGGCCCAGACUCCUACGGGAGGCAGCAGUGGGGAAUAUUGCACAAUGGGGGAAACCCUGAUGCAGCGACGCCGCGUGAAGGAAGAAGUAUCUCGGUAUGUAAACUUCUAUCAGCAGGGAAGAUAGUGACGGU
rnacentral:rRNA from 1 species